AGCAUUUGCUUCGAGAUGAGCAAAAUCCACUUGUGGGUUCUGACAUACUAUCAUCAAUAAUCAAUUCGUGUUGAGUUCAAUAGGAGUUGGAUAACAUGGCGUCUCAAUCAGAUUCUCCACCCAACUCCGUAAACGAGAAUACCCAGAAUCCAGCUUCGCAACCAGCAGCUGAAAAUCAUCAAGGUCCCAAGCCUGAGGCUGCAAGUGGGAGCUCUCCAGCUUCUGUGUUUGUAAACUCGGAACCAAUUCGGGAGGACCAAGUCCAGAAUGCUAUGAAAUUUCUUUCACAUCCAAAAGUUAGGGGAUCUCCAGUCAUGUAUAGGCGUUCUUUUCUUGAGAGGAAGGGGCUUACAAAGGAGGAAAUUGACGAGGCCUUUCGUCGAGUUCCUGAUCCUACCCCAACUGUUACUAGCACACAGCCAGUUGCUGCUAAUGAAGAUGGGACACAGAAGCCUUCAUCGACUAGUACAUCACAGGCUGCUUUACAAAAUCUGCAGCCAGCGUCAGCUCCGAGCAAUAGCAUGAAAAAAAUGGGGUAUCUCUCUCAUUUCCAUUGGACUCAUGCAGUUAUUGCUGUAGGUCUACUCGCUGCUUCAGGAGCUGGAACAGCUGUACUUUUCAAGAAAUCUAUUAUUCCCCGGUUGAAGUCUUGGAUACGCAAGGUUGUAAUGGAUGAAGAAGAAGAUGAAAAAGGUAUUGUCAAGGGAAAACCAAGUUUAGCAGAAGAAGCUGCUGUUGCUGCAAAAGCUGCAGCAGCUGCUGCUGCUGAUGUUGCCCGAGCAAGCCAGGAGAUGUUGGCAUCAAAAUCCGAAGAGAAAAGGUAUUUUGAGGAGCUGACAAGCCUGCUAAACUACCAAGUACGUGAGAUGAAAUCAAUGACAAGUGCUAUAGAGAAACUGGAAGGGCAAAGUACUACUUCUGGAAGAAUACCUGUUUCGGAACUAGAUGAUCGAAGAAUUUCAGUUA
rnacentral:misc_RNA from 1 species